CUUGUACAGGUGCUGCAUGGCUGUCGCCAGCUCGUGUCGUGAGAUGUUCGGUUAAGUCCGCUAACGAGCGCAACCCUCGCUGUGUGUUACAAGUGUCACACGGAACUGCCGGUCAUAAACCGGGAGGAAGGUGGGAUGACGUCAAGUCAGCAUGGCCUUUAUAUCCUGGGCUACACACACGCUACAAUGGGAAGGGACAAUAGGUUGCGAAGCCGCGAGGCGGAGCCAAUCCAGCAAAACUUCCCUCAGUUCAGAUUGCAGGCUGCAACUCGCCUGCAUGAAGUUGGAGUUGCUAGUAAACGCAGGUCAGCCAUACUGCGUUGAAUACGUUCCCGGGGCUU
rnacentral:rRNA from 1 species